GGUCUGGCGAGGAGUUUCUUCUUCUUUUUAUGUCGAUUCAGUCGACCAUCCCAUUGUUCCUGUUCCUUGCGUUGUUCUUCUUCCCGUUCCCGGAGGAAAUCUAAAUACGAAGUGCACUCCUCGCCGUCCCACUCCGUCGACCACCCACCCGGGUACUCCUGCUGCUCCUUUGUUUCUUUUGAUCCACCGGGUUGCUCCUGCUGCUGGUGAUGUUCCCUUGUCGUUUCAUGUCGUACCGGGAAUUCUAACCCCCGGUACUCUUUGUGUGAUUUGAAUAUGUGACGCCCUAAGCGAUGCGCCAACAUAAUAUGCGACUUGUCAUACGGACAAACCGCGAUUUUUUCUAGAACAAAACAAAGUAUGAUAUGUAGCGUUUCCUAUAAAACACACAUUUUUUUUUUUUAAACAAAACUUCCAAAAAGGGGGGUUAUCAAAUAAUUUUAAAAAUUGUUUUUUAAGUUAUACGCGCAUACCAAAAUUCACGUUUCAAUUCACUGUCAUUUAAAUGUAAGUGUAUUAUUGUCAAAAGGGCAAACUGCAAUUUUUUAGUACAAAAAAUAAACAAAAAUAUGUAUAUAUUUCGCGUUUUCCCCAUAAAACGCACAUUUUUGAAACAAAACUUUCAGUAAUUUUAAAAAUUGUUUAUUUUUUAAAAGCCAAAAUUCCCUAUUCACUGUCAUUUAAAAGAUAUUAAAAACGCUCAAUUUAAUUCGAUUAUUAUUGUCAAAAAGGCAAACUGCAAUUUUUUAGUACAAAAAAUAAAACAUUUUUGAAACAAAUUUAAAAAUUGUUUAUUUUUUAAAAGCCAAAAUUCCCUUUUCCAUUCACUGUCAUUUAAAAGCUAUUAAAAACACUCAAUUUAAAUCGGUUAUUAUGCAACGUAAAAAAGAUGAGUAUCAUAUUUUAAAACAGGUAGAAACUAACCAAAAAAGUGAUAACCCAAACUGAAACCCACAAGAAAAGACGCGCACUGUAUAAAGGUAAUUAAAAUAUAAAACUUACCAGUUGUAGGGUCGUAGGGAAAUGGACAUCGCACUUCUCUAUUCAUUGCACUGAAUAUAGUCUAUAAUACACAUGCAACGUAUUUAUACACAUGCACUCCCUUCCAUGGUUGAAUUAAAAGUCGAAAGGUCUUCUACCCACAAGCACCAACGCCGAUUUGAAUAGACGCGAUGUUGUCGCCAGACAACCGUGCAGGUAGAAGUCUCAAGGUCAACACGCUUUCACACGGGAACGCAACCGUUUCGGACGUUGGACGAACGUAUGUUGCCGCAAAAGAUCAAGGCCAACUUGCUUUCAUUUUUUACAAUCUCCGUAUGGGAUGUGGAAUUUCAAAACGCGCCGAGUCUAAAUGUCAAGUUGUUUUGCUUGUUGAGAAUAAUAAUUAAUUGCCCCCUUUAUAUUUGCUCCGUGGGAUUAACGUAAUGGGAAAAAUUUGUUGCAACGCAUGUGGAGGUGUCUUCGUUUGUUAACUUUUAGAAAGUAUUCUCGCACCGUAUAAAUACAUCUCAUUUUUCUCUGUUUUGUCAGUAGUUGUUUUUGGUAUUAUUCGUGCAACGUGGAAGCUAACUUAGUGGUUUGGUGUUCGUACAAAAAAGCAUUCCUAAAGAUCAUCUUAGUACUCUCAACCCGUAACCGCAAAUAGAAUAGCAGCAAUCUUAAGCAUGGACUUAAGUCAACUGAAUCAAACCUGUCUUGCAGAAGGUGAUUUUGAGCAGCCGAUUGUCAAACUGCAUGAAUUGCCGAUAGGCGUUCCGUUUAAAAUUACUAGAGCCAAAAUUGUUAAUACAAAAUUUGGCAAUUCCGUGUUGCUGCAAUUAGAAAAUUCCGUAGUAUUUCUUCCUACUCGCGUGACAGAAGCUUUCCGUCCGAGACUAGAACACUUUGCGUCGGGGCAGUACAAACUGGUCUACGAGGGAUCCAAAGAUAUUGGAAAGCCCAACUCUUUAAAGAAAUUCAAAAUAAUUCAAAAUUAAUCAACAUAUUAUACAGGAUUAUGGUCAAGCAACUUACAUUAGAAAGCCUUUGUAUUAUAACAAUUUGCGAAAAUAUUAGGUGUAGUGCUGAUUUUUUGCUUGAGUCACCUUUGCCUUGGAAACUAACGAUACUAAUAUUUAAAUAUUAUUCGAAAUAUAGAUGGAGGUACCUUAAACAACUAGCGCUCCAGUCUGAUGGCAAUUCUUUAUUAAAUUUAGAAUUCAUUCUGUUGAAUAAGAGAUUUGGAUCGUCUUACAGAAAUAGCAUUUUGGCAACUCCAACCAUUGAUUUUGACGGAGAAUCCGCUUACUGUUUAUGGGUCAGUUAUUACAGGAUAAAAUAUUCGGAAAUUUUAGUUUGUAAAUCUUGUCACUUUAUAUUUCAAGUAGUUAAAAAAUUUAAAAAGAAAAAUUUUAGACUUUUAUUGGAUCACUAUCAUUUACAGCUGGAUAUAAAUAAUUUGAAUGAUGUAUAUCACGAUAAACAAUUUUGGUGUCAAAGCUGCUUUGAAGAAGUUUUGUUCACUGUAGAAACUGAAGAUGAAUGUAAUUUAAUGCUUCACGAUGAGAGAAAAUAUGGAAAAAAGUUACGCUUUUCUGAUAGCACAUUGAACUAUUAAUACUGUGGUUUUAUUAUAACAUAUGUAACUGUAGAUAAGGCUUUUAUGUAUUGAUUGUAUGCCAUUGUAUUGCAACAAGAAUAAACAUGUAUAUAUUUAGACGCUAUUUUCUUUUUUACCACCACCACAACACCGCAUAAUAAUUACACAGAAGUUUGUAAUUGUAUAAUUUAUUUAUUAUAUACAUUAUUACUAUUUUACAAUUUCGUUAAAUGCUAAAUUAUUAAAUUGUUCUAGUUUUCUUUUGCACUCUUGAGCUUGCAUCCGCGCCACUUGCAAGUCUGUAUUAAAAAGCGCAAUUUGUGUUUCAAUUUCGUUGAUAUUGCACUCUAAUCCCGACAACUGAGACGCCAAGUUUCUUUUUAAAUUGAAUGCCUCACAAAUGACACUUUUUUCUCUACCGUCCGUGAACACUUCGAGCCAAUCAGCGGAUGACGUUGGAGCUGCAAACGCUUCACUUGUGGUAGUUUUCUUCUUCUUCUUGCGGGAUACGACCGACGCACUUUGUUUUCGUUUUGUCGCAGAUUUUUUGGUUUGUUGCUCUACAGGAACGAAGCUGGACGGGAGCACUUCUGAUGAAGGAAAUUGCAACUCGAAAUUUUCCAAUAAAUUAUACAAUUCGUUGGAUGUCACAAUUUGCUCUUGAGCCAUCAUAUACACGUAUUUAUGUCAGAACUUCUAAAUCGAGACUAAAUUUAUUUCAAAACGUCUACGUUGUCUACCCACGAAUCGUGCGACUUAUCCAAUCCCAACCAGCGCACGAGAACCAUAUUGCCUCGUCUGCGCAACACCUUUUCGACGAGA